AAGCUAAGGGAUUUGCCACUGCCACUCAGCUGCCAAGGAUCAGAGACAUUACUUCUACUUCUCAACGUCCAUCCUCCAACCAUUGUCCAGUGAUUCAGGCAGAAUUCCCUCCUGCUCAGGAGGUGAGUCGACCCAGUAGUGCCACUGGCUCUGCAACAGGAAUUGGUUAGCAGGGCUUUGCAUCUCCUUGGCCACAGACGUUGGGCAGGUGUGGAAAAAGGCCAUCAGCUAGAUGCUCAAGAUUGAAUUCUGAGAUUGUGGGGGUGAUGCUCUUGCUCUCAUCCCUGUCUGCAGGUAGCCAUCCUGUGACCCUGGAAGAAACCAGCCCAAGGAAGGUGCUAACCU
rnacentral:lncRNA from 10 species